rnacentral:rRNA from 1 species
UGGGGAAUAUUGCACAAUGGGCGCAAGCCUGAUGCAGCCAUGCCGCGUGUGUGAAGAAGGCCUUCGGGUUGUAAAGCACUUUCAGCGAGGAGGAAGGUGGUGAGCUUAAUACGCUCAUCAAUUGACGUUACUCGCAGAAGAAGCACCGGCUAACUCCGUGCCAGCAGCCGCGGUAAUACGGAGGGUGCAAGCGUUAAUCGGAAUUACUGGGCGUAAAGCGCACGCAGGCGGUUUGUUAAGUCAGAUGUGAAAUCCCCGGGCUCAACCUGGGAACUGCAUUUGAAACUGGCAAGCUAGAGUCUCGUAGAGGGGGGUAGAAUUCCAGGUGUAGCGGUGAAAUGCGUAGAGAUCUGGAGGAAUACCGGUGGCGAAGGCGGCCCCCCUGGANGAAGACUGACGCUCAGGUGCGAAAGCGUGGGGCAGCAAACAGGAUUAGAUACCCUGGUAGUCCACGCUG